AGGGAAUAUUGCGCAAUGGACGAAAGUCUGACGCAGCCACGCCGCGUGAGUGAGGAAGGCCUUCGGGUUGUAAAGCUCUGUCGCCUGGGAAAAACGGCUAUCCGGGGAAAGUUCGGGUAGCGUGAUGGUACCAGGAAAGGAAGCACCGGCAAACUCUGUGCCAGCAGCCGCGGUAAUACAGAGGGUGCAAGCGUUGUUCGGAAUUACUGGGCGUAAAGCGUGCGUAGUCGGUAUUGAGAGUCACGGGUGAAAUCCCAAGGCUUAACCUUGGAACUGCCUGUGAGACCUCAGUACUAGAGUGUGAGAGGGGAUAGUGGAAUACCCAGUGUAGCGGUGAAAUGCGUAGAGAUUGGGUGGAACACCGGUGGCGAAGGCGGCUAUCUGGCUCACAACUGACGAUCAGGCACGAAAGCGUGGGGAGCAAAC
rnacentral:rRNA from 1 species